UACGGAGGGGGCUAGCGUUGUUCGGAAUUACUGGGCGUAAAGCGCGCGUAGGCGGAUCUGCAAGUCGGGGGUGAAAUCCCGAGGCUCAACCUCGGAACUGCCUUCGAUACUGCGGGUCUCGAGUCCGGGAGAGGUGAGUGGAAUUCCUGGUGUAGCGGUGAAAUGCGCAGAUAUCAGGAAGAACACCCGUGGCGAAGGCGGUUCUCUGGGACGGUACUGACGCUGAGACGCGAAAGCGUGGGGAGCGAACAGG
rnacentral:rRNA from 1 species